rnacentral:pre_miRNA from 1 species
GAUGAGACUUGGGUAUGACAGACAGGCAGUGCGUUGCUAGCUGGCUGCUACACCUUCCUCUUAGCAGUUGCUAGUUGCUCCUCUCUGUUG